AAACUCAAAGGAAUUGACGGGGACCCGCACAAGCGGUGGAUGAUGUGGAUUAAUUCGAUGCAACGCGAAAAACCUUACCUACCCUUGACAUGUACGGAAUCCUGCUGAGAGGUGGGAGUGCCUGAAAGGGAACCGUAACACAGGUGCUGCAUGGCUGUCGUCAGCUCGUGUCGUGAGAUGUUGGGUUAAGUCCCGCAACGAGCGCAACCCUUGUCAUUAAUUGCCAUCAUUUAGUUGGGCACUUUAAUGAGACUGCCGGUGACAAACCGGAGGAAGGUGGGGAUGACGUCAAGUCCUCAUGGCCCUUAUGGGUAGGGCUUCACACGUCAUACAAUGGCCGGUACAGAGGGUUGCCAACCCGCGAGGGGGAGCCAAUCCCAGAAAGCCGGUCGUAGUCCGGAUUGUUCUCUGCAACUCGAGAGCAUGAAGUCGGAAUCGCUAGUAAUCGCGGAUCAGCAUGUCGCGGUGAAUACGUUCCCGGGUCUUGUACACACCGCCCGUCACACCAUGGGAGUGGGUGAUACCAGAAGUAGGCAGUCUAACCGCAAGGGGGGCGCUUACCACGGUAUGAUUCAUGACUGGGGUNAAGUCGUAACAA
rnacentral:rRNA from 1 species